AGUCUUGUGGCUUAGUGGUUAGAGCACUUGCCUAACAAGCAAGAGGACCUGGGUUCAAUUCCCAAGCAGGGCGA